rnacentral:rRNA from 1 species
ACACACAGCCNGGUGUGGAAAACAGGGCUUCCCGUCCGCUCAGCCGUACUUAAGCCACACGCCGGUGAGUUAGUAGUUGGGUGGGUGACCACCAGCGAAUCCUCACUGUUGUAUGUU